UUUUGCAUUUAAUUUGCGUGCAUAAAAACGGAAUAAACGUAUGAAAAUUCUAUUUUUUAAUCAUAUCUCCUUUACCAUUUGUCUAAGAUGGGCAGUUCUACUCUACUCAUUUUGCUCACUUUAUUCUGCGUUUAUAUUUACACCAGUACAGUAUAUGCUUUGCCAUACUAUAGAGAGAGCAGUAUAAUGGCUAAAAUGGCGAAAGGAACUGGACAUGCUAUGGUCGAUUUUGCUGUGGAUACAGUUUCUCAUAUCUUGAAAUGAUGCGUGGAAAAUCCAUCAACUGCACAAAAUGAAUUGGGAACGAAUCUGAAGUAUUAAGUGCAACACUUCCUGCGCAAACGUCCUUUAUAAUUCUGUUCUUCUUUAUCCGCAAUCUUUAAUGCCCAAAUAAAAUAAAAUAAAAAUAUUAAUUUUUUU